rnacentral:rRNA from 6 species
UGGCGGUGCUUUAGACUCUUCAGGGGAACCUGUCUCGUAAUCGAUAGUCCACGAUAUACCUAACCUUUUUUAGACAUCAGUAUGUAUACCGUCGUCGUCAGGUAACUUUUAAAAAUAAAGAAGUUAGCAAUAAAAAUUACAAUGAUUUUUUACGUCAGAUCAAGGUGCAGCUUAUGAAAAGGUGAGGAUGGGUUACAAUUAUAAGUUAUAAUAACGGAAGGAAGCUUGAUAGAGCUUUCAAUGAAGGAGGACUUGAAAGUAAAAUUAUUAUAUAUAAAUUUUUUGAAUUUAGCUCUGAAGCGU